rnacentral:rRNA from 1 species
CAGUAGGGAAUCUUCCACAAUGGACGAAAGUCUGAUGGAGCAACGCCGCGUGAACGAUGAAGGCCUUCGGGUCGUAAAGUUCUGUUGUAAGGGAAGAACAAGUGCCGCAGGCAAUGGCGGCACCUUGACGGUACCUUGCGAGAAAGCCACGGCUAACUACGUGCCAGCAGCCGCGGUAAUACGUAGGUGGCAAGCGUUGUCCGGAAUUAUUGGGCGUAAAGCGCGCGCAGGCGGCCUCUUAAGUCUGAUGUGAAAGCCCCCGGCUCAACCGGGGAGGGCCAUUGGAAACUGGGAGGCUUGAGUAUAGGAGAGAAGAGUGGAAUUCCACGUGUAGCGGUGAAAUGCGUAGAGAUGUGGAGGAACACCAGUGGCGAAGGCGACUCUUUGGCCUAUAACUGACGCUGAGGCGCGAAAGCGUGGGGAGCAAACAGGAUUAGA